UUGAACGCUGGCGGCAGGCCUAACACAUGCAAGUCGAGCGGAUGAAGGGAGCUUGCUCCUGGAUUCAGCGGCGGACGGGUGAGUAAUGCCUAGGAAUCUGCCUGGUAGUGGGGGAUAACGUCCGGAAACGGGCGCUAAUACCGCAUACGUCCUGAGGGAGAAAGUGGGGGAUCUUCGGACCUCACGCUAUCAGAUGAGCCUAGGUCGGAUUAGCUAGUUGGUGGGGUAAAGGCCUACCAAGGCGACGAUCCGUAACUGGUCUGAGAGGAUGAUCAGUCACACUGGAACUGAGACACGGUCCAGACUCCUACGGGAGGCAGCAGUGGGGAAUAUUGGACAAUGGGCGAAAGCCUGAUCCAGCCAUGCCGCGUGUGUGAAGAAGGUCUUCGGAUUGUAAAGCACUUUAAGUUGGGAGGAAGGACAGUAAGUUAAUACCUUGCUGUUUUGACGUUACCAACAGAAUAAGCACCGGCUAACUUCGUG
rnacentral:rRNA from 1 species